rnacentral:rRNA from 1 species
UACGUAGGGUGCAAGCGUUGUCCGGAAUUAUUGGGCGCAAAGGGCUCGUAGGCGGUUUGUCGCGUCGGGAGUGAAAUCCACUGGCUUAACUGGUGGCUUGCUUUCGAUACGGGCAGACUGGAGGUAUGCAGGGGAGAACGGAAUUCCUGGUGUAGCGGUGAAAUGCGCAGAUAUCAGGAGGAACACCGGUGGCGAAGGCGGUUCUCUGGGCAUGUCCUGACGCUGAGGAGCGAAAGUGUGGGGAGCGAACAGG